rnacentral:rRNA from 1 species
CCUUGCGCCGGCGACGGUUCAUUCAAAUUUCUGCCCUAUCAACUUUCGAUGGUAAGGUAUUGGCUUACCAUGGUUUCAACGGGUAACGGGGAAUUAGGGUUCGAUUCCGGAGAGGGAGCCUGAGAAACGGCUACCACAUCCAAGGAAGGCAGCAGGCGCGCAAAUUACCCAAUCCCGAUACGGGGAGGUAGUGACAAUAAAUACUGAUACAGGGCUCUUUUGGGUCUUGUAAUUGGAAUGAGUACAAUUUAAACCUCUUAACGAGGAACAAUUGGAGGGCAAGUCUGGUGCCAGCAGCCGCGGUAAUUCCAGCUCCAAUAGCGUAUAUUAAAGUUGUUGCAGUUAAAAAGCUCGUAGUUGAACCUUGGGUCUGGCUGGCAGGUCCGCCUCACCGCGUGUACUUGUCCGGCCGGGCCUUCCUUCUGGAGAACCUCAUGCCCUUCACUGGGCGUGUUGGGGACCAGGACUUUUACUUUGAAAAAAUUAGAGUGUUCAAAGCAGGCCUUUGCUCGAAUACGUUAGCAUGGAAUAAUAGAAUAGGACGUGCGGUCCUAUUUUGUUGGUUUCUAGGACCGCCGUAAUGAUUAAUAGGGACAGUCGGGGGCAUCAGUAUUCAAUUGUCAGAGGUGAAAUUCUUGGAUUUAUUGAAGACUAACUACUGCGAAAGCAUUUGCCAAGGAUGUUUUCAUUAAUCAGUGAACGAAAGUUAGGGGAUCGAAGACGAUCAGAUACCGUCGUAGUCUUAACCGUAAACUAUGCCGACUAGGGAUCGGGCGAUGUUCUUUUUCUGACUCGCUCGGCACC